rnacentral:rRNA from 1 species
ACUCCUACGGGAGGCAGCAGUGGGGAAUAUUGCACAAUGGGCGCAAGCCUGAUGCAGCCAUGCCGCGUGUGUGAAGAAGGCCUUCGGUUGUAAAGCACUUUCAGCAGUGAGGAAGGCGGAGUCGUUAAUAGCGGCCUCGUUUGACGUUAGCUGCAGAAGAAGCACCGGCUAACUCCGUGCCAGCAGCCGCGGUAAUACGGAGGGUGCGAGCGUUAAUCGGAAUUACUGGGCGUAAAGCGCAUGCAGGUGGUUUGUUAAGUCAGAUGUGAAAGCCCGGGGCUCAACCUCGGAAUAGCAUUUGAAACUGGCAGACUAGAGUACUGUAGAGGGGGUAGAAUUUCAGGUGUAGCGGUGAAAUGCGUAGAGAUCUGAAGGAAUACCGGUGGCGAAGGCGGCCCCCUGGACAGAUACUGACACUCAGAUGCGAAAGCGUGGGGAGCAAACAGGAUUAGAUACCCUGGUAGGAUAGCG